AAACUGUUUUUAACUGCUGCCUAAGCUGAGCCCAGUUGCCGUGUAGCACUAGCAAGUAGCAACAGGAAAGUCUGCUGAGAAAAGUCAGUCAUCGUCUUCACUAAAUUGAGUUAGAAGAAUUAGGGGUUUAGAUUUGCAAAGAUCCAAAUUUUAUCAGUCUCUCCGAAAGUAAUCAGAGAAAUGGAAAGUCAACCAAAGAACGGAGACUCGCUGGAGAAGCGGCCCGGCAUCUUCUUCCUCGGCUCCCCCGGCGUCGGCAAACGCUCUCUCAUUACGCAUGGAAUAUCUCUACAAAGUACUACACAGCUGACGUUUCGGUAUGGAUGGCUCGUCUCCAUGACGAAUUUUCGAUUGAGUCCCUCCCAAUGUUUGACCAGUUGGCUGCCUUGAUCUGGUUUUCGACACAACUGAGUUGUCGUCUCUGUCUGCGCUUCAGAAAUAGGUAUCUUGAACUGAUCUUCAAAAGUUCGAUAUACUAGUGUGCAUAGGGAAUAAGGUUGAUCUUGUUCCAGGUCACCCGGUUCAUACCGAAUAUAGAAGACGACUGCAGAAGUUUGGAGACCAGUUUGAUGAUGACGACGAUCUAGGGUUCACUGUGUAUGGAAUCACCGAGACUGAAGGAAGCAGUUUAUUGGGGGAUGACGAGUCAUAGGCCAGAGACACAUGUUUGGAAUGGUGCACUGAGCAUAACUUUGAGUUCGUCGAAGCUUAUGCUGAUUUUAACAAAUGUAAGGCAGCACUUCUUUCUGACUCGUAUUUUAUGGCAAGUUUUAUACGAAAGUGAAAGUUUGAAGCCGGAUGAGAUGUCAAAUUGUUACUAGGCAGCAGUUUAGGUGUGGUUACAUAAAAACACAUGGUGUACCAUACAACUAAAAAUUUCUCCCACAUAAGCAGCACACAGGAUAAACUCAAUUGAACAAGUUGUUGCUCAGGCUCUUUUGUUCAUGAAGAAAUUUUUCAUUAUUGUGCCUAGAAUCAAGUUUUUAAUUUUUUUUUCACACAAAUAUCUCAUCACUUGUUUAGUGACACAUGAUGUAUCACCAUGUGUUAUGGGUAUACUGAAAAAUCUCUCGGCUCUA